rnacentral:rRNA from 1 species
UACGGAGGUCCCAAGCGUUGUUCGGAUUCACUGGGCGUAAAGGGUGCGUAGGUGGUGAGGUAAGUCGGAUGUGAAAUCUCCGAGCUCAACUCGGAAAUGGCAUUGGAAACUACCUUGCUCGAGGGUUGGAGGGGGGACUGGAAUGCUUGGUGUAGCAGUGAAAUGCGUAGAUAUCGGAAGGAACACCUGUGGCGAAAGCGGCUCACUGGACCAUUACUGACGCUGAGGCACGAAAGCUAGGGGAGCAAACAGG